rnacentral:rRNA from 1 species
GAACGGGUGAGUAACACGUGGGUGAUCUGCCUUGCACUCUGGGAUAAGCUUGGGAAACUGGGUCUAAUACCGGAUAGGAACCGUCUUUAGUGUGGUGGUUGGAAAGUUUUUCGGUGCAAGAUGAGCUCGCGGCCUAUCAGCUUGUUGGUGGGGUAAUGGCCUACCAAGGCGACGACGGGUAGCCGGCCUGAGAGGGUGUACGGCCACAUUGGGACUGAGACACGGCCCAG